ACACCCUUCUCCCUCGAUCUGCAAGGAGAGGCCACUGGGAGACGGCUACCCCCUUUUUCAGGCCUGGGGGCUGGUGGAAAAGAUUUAGACGAAUAGAUCCAUUAGCUCGAGUAUGUAUUUGUUGCUAGGAAGCACUGCCACACGCUGAUGGGAGUAAUUGUCGCGUUGACGAAUGCUCCAUAUUUCUGGCAACCAGGCUCCAUCCCUCGCCAGCCUGUCGGACCCCCGAAAACUUUGUCGUUUGCUCCGAAGGGGGAAGGGGUUUUGAUUGAGCCCGGAGCAGAUGCAGGACUCGGGUGGUUUCGAUGGAUCUCGUGUCUGGAGUGAUACGGCCAGGAGGGAAGAAAACGUAUCUUCCAGAUCUACCCGGGCAGAGAAAUGCCUGCUUUGACCUAUCAGCCACAUAAAGCGCAGUCCAGCAAACAGGCCCGUGUGCGAAAUGAAAAGGAUUCGCAGAGCCCCACAACACAAGGCAAGACCCAAAGGUUCGGCAUUGAGUAACUCCAGAGAUGAGGACAGAGAAUGGGAGUUAGCAGAGAGGAGGAGGAGCAGGAUAGAAGAAGU